AGGUUAAGUUAACAAGGGCGCAUGGUGAAUGCCUUGGCACUAGGAGCCGAUGAAGGACGGGACUAACACCGAUAUGCUUCGGGGAGCUGUACGUAAGCUAUGAUCCGGAGAUUUCCGAAUGGGGCAACCCAGCAGUUUUAAUCAACUGUUACCACUAGAUGAAUUCAUAGUCUAGUUGGAGGUAAACGCUGUGAACUGAAACAUCUCAUUAGCAGCAGGAAUAUAAAGAAAUUUCGAUUCCCUAAGUAGCGGCGAGCGAACGGGGAACAGCCCA
rnacentral:rRNA from 1 species